rnacentral:rRNA from 1 species
CACUCCUACGGGAGGCAGCAGUGGGGAAUAUUGGACAAUGGGCGCAAGCCUGAUCCAGCCAUGCCGCGUGAGUGAUGAAGGCCCUAGGGUUGUAAAGCUCUUUCACCGGUGAAGAUAAUGACGGUAACCGGAGAAGAAGCCCCGGCUAACUUCGUGCCAGCAGCCGCGGUAAUACGAAGGGGGCUAGCGUUGUUCGGAUUUACUGGGCGUAAAGCGCACGUAGGCGGACUAUUAAGUCAGGGGUGAAAUCCCGGGGCUCAACCCCGGAACUGCCUUUGAUACUGGUAGUCUUGAGUUCGAGAGAGGUGAGUGGAAUUCCGAGUGUAGAGGUGAAAUUCGUAGAUAUUCGGAGGAACACCAGUGGCGAAGACGGCAUACG